rnacentral:lncRNA from 1 species
AGUGCCAUUGCAGUAGGCAGGGCUGCCAAUAACCCGUCAAUUAUAUAUUGCGAUUCUAAGGGGAUGUGCUGAAGUUUUGGCCAUUGAAAGACAUAAAAUGGAGAUGGUUUACACAGCUCGCGCCAACGAACACAACGUCGUCGUAAUGUCCCAUGUGAACUGGGUGACUUUUUCAGGCCCACUUUUCCAAAAAAGUUUUCGCAACGUAACGUAGCAUGUGAAUCCAGUAUUACGUCGCACAGACAUAGAAGGACUUUUGCACAUGCUAUACAACGAUUCGUUGGACGUGCUUCCGGUGUAUGAUGUUAAUGCCACGUUUCAAUAUUCGCUGGUAAAGUAUUUGUUACGUACAUUUCGGCUGGCUAUUAAGUGUGUGCCGUCCGUCCAAUUUGGACGCACAGCGUCCUGGCGGCGUAGAAGUUAUGUUUUGGUUUAUUUUGCGGGAUGAUGACAUUUUGCCCGGGUGCGUAUGCUUGGUGGUAUUGUCACUGGUCGCACCAGCAUAUUCAUGCAAGUGUGCUGCAGCAGACGCUUGAGUUGUUGUCGAAAGUCACAUGUCAUUUCCUGUUACAGGUAAUGCGAGAUUCACAGGUCAAAGGAGAACAUCAAGGAAAUGGACCUCCCCCUAUAAGAAGACCAGCAAGGACAAGUCAUGAACGCGGACCUAAACGGAAGCAGACUAACAUCAACGUUGAGCUACAGCAAAUAGACCAGAGGGCGUGGGAAUGAAGACGAAGCCAUUGUGUGGCGACAUAACACGUGCAGGCUGUCUGGCGAACAGACCAUGCGAAGAAC